UACGUAGGGGGCAAGCGUUGUCCGGAUUUAUUGGGCGUAAAGAGCGUGUAGGCGGCCAGAUAGGUCCGUUGUGAAAACUCGAGGCUCAACCUCGAGACGCCGAUGGAAACCAUUUGGCUAGAGUCCGGAAGAGGAGAGUGGAAUUCCUGGUGUAGCGGUGAAAUGCGCAGAUAUCAGGAAGAACACCAAUGGCGAAAGCAGCUUUCUGGGACGGUACUGACGCUGAGACGCGAAAGCGUGGGGAGCGAACAGG
rnacentral:rRNA from 1 species